GUAGGUGAACCUGCGGAAGGAUCAUUAACACGUGUUUUCACGUUACUUAACCAAACCGUGAACUGUUCUUACCACGGCCAGUGCGUUUUCGGAUCCGAGUGCAUGUCCCGCUCGGGACGGAGUUCUCCGCGCCGCCACUCUUCGGAGCAGGCAGCCGGGGCCGAAACGCCUGCGCAGUGUCUAAACUUACGGGUCGUCCACGUCGCUCUGGGCUCAACCCGCGUCUUAUUAACCCCAUCAUAUCAAAAACUAAUUGAAUAGAGCUUCUUCGGAAGUCUCUUUAUCAAAUUGCGAACAACUCUUAGCAGUGGAUAUCUCGGCUCUC
rnacentral:misc_RNA from 1 species